GGCCGGCUGGCCCAAUGGCAAGGCGUUUGACUACGAAUCAAAAGAUUGCAGGUUAUCCCUGCGUCGGUCA
rnacentral:tRNA from 1 species